rnacentral:lncRNA from 1 species
GAGAGAGAAAAAUGACUGUUGUAUUCAAAAUAUGAGAUAGCGUCCUCUAAUAAUACACGAGCUCGGACCCUAUUUAUAGAUUUACAAGCGGAGGGGUAAAAUAGUAAAAACAUCUUUGGUGCAUGCGUCCUGCGUGGUGGAAGGGUACGUUGGUAAUUUCGAUAAUACGCGGGAGACCUUCCCGCGCGUUUAUUGACUCCUCUGAUGGAAAUGUCUUCUCUGGCAAAGGCGUCUUCUCUGGUGAUAUUGACAUCUCUGGCAUGAAGAACUCCUCUGGUAAACACGUCUUCUCUGUCAUGAAGAACUCCUCUGGUAAAACACGUCUUCUCUGGCAAGGGCGUCUCCUCUGGCGGUAGUGACUUCUCUGAUGGAGUUGACCUUUUUGAUGAUGCUGACCUCCCUGACGAUGGUGACCUUUCCGGUGCGGAUGAUUUCUCUGGAGGAGAGGUCUCCUCUGUCAAGAAUGACUUCUCUGGUGCGGAUGACUCCUCUGGCUAGAGUCAUUCCUCUGAUGGAUGAAAUCCUUCUGGUAUAAAUGGUUCUUCUGACCCAUACGGCUCCUCUGAUGAGAGUGGUUCCUCUGAUUUAUACUUUCUCCUUACUCUGCAUAUAUUGCUCCUCACCA